UACGUAGGUGGCAAGCGUUGUCCGGAAUUACUGGGUGUAAAGGGCGUGUAGGCGGGGAUGCAAGUCAGAUGUGAAAUUCCGGGGCUCAACUCCGGCGCUGCAUCUGAAACUGUAUCUCUUGAGUGCUGGAGAGGAAAGCGGAAUUCCUAGUGUAGCGGUGAAAUGCGUAGAUAUUAGGAGGAACACCAGUGGCGAAGGCGGCUUUCUGGACAGUAACUGACGCUGAGGCGCGAAAGCGGGGGGAG
rnacentral:rRNA from 1 species